GACGAACGCUGGCGGCGUGCCUAAUACAUGCAAGUAGAACGCUGAAGACUUUAGCUUGCUAAAGUUGGAAGAGUUGCGAACGGGUGAGUAACGCGUAGGUAACCUGCCUACUAGCGGGGGAUAACUAUUGGAAACGAUAGCUAAUACCGCAUAACAGCAUUUAACCCAUGUUAGAUGCUUGAAAGGAGCAAUUGCUUCACUAGUAGAUGGACCUGCGUUGUAUUAGCUAGUUGGUGAGGUAACGGCUCACCAAGGCGACGAUACAUAGCCGACCUGAGAGGGUGAUCGGCCACACUGGGACUGAGACACGGCCCAGACCCCUACGGGAGGCAGCAGUAGGGAAUCUUCGGCAAUGGGGGCAACCCUGACCGAGCAACGCCGCGUGAGUGAAGAAGGUUUUCGGAUCGUAAAGCUCUGUUGUAAGAGAAGAACGUGUGUGAGAGUGGAAAGUUCACACAGUGACGGUAACUUACCAGAA
rnacentral:rRNA from 1 species